CUACCAGGAUGAUGAAGAUGAAACGAGGGCGGACAUUUCAGCAAGACAGUGAUUCCAAACACACAGACAAGGAAACUUUCAGCUGGUUUCAGAGGUUGAAGAUAAAGGUGCUAAUGGACCAA